CAGUCGCCGCGGUAAUACGUAGGGUGCGAGCGUUAAUCGGAAUUACUGGGCGUAAAGCGUGCGCAGGCGGUUCGUUAAGACAGAUGUGAAAUCCCCGGGCUUAACCUGGGAACUGCAUUUGUGACUGGCGAGCUAGAGUAUGGCAGAGGGGGGUAGAAUUCCACGUGUAGCAGUGAAAUGCGUAGAGAUGUGGAGGAAUACCGAUGGCGAAGGCAGCCCCCUGGGCCAAUACUGACGCUCAUGCACGAAAGCGUGUGGAGCAAACAGGAUUAGAUACCCCUGUAGUCCCUGUCUCUUAUAC
rnacentral:rRNA from 1 species